ensembl:snRNA U6 U6 spliceosomal RNA
UUGCUUUGACAGCACAUAUACUAAAAUUGGAAUUAUAAGGAAAUUAGCAUGGUCCCUGUGCAAUGAUUAUAAAUAACUCUGUGAAGUGUUCUAAAUAAAA